rnacentral:rRNA from 1 species
GACGAACGCUGGCGGCGUGCUUAACACAUGCAAGUCGAACGGAAAGGCCCUGCUUUUGGGGGUUGCUCGAGUGGCGAACGGGUGAGUAACAAGUGAGUAACCUUCCCUUUACGUUGGGAUAACUUCAAGAAACGGGGAUAAAUACCGGAUAUGAGCUCCUGCUGCAUGGGGGGGGUUGGAAAGUUUCGGCGGUGGGGGAUGGACGGGCGGCUUGUCUGCUUGUUGGUGGGGGAGUGGCUUACCAAGGCUUGGGUGGGUAGCCGGCCUGGGGGGGUGACCGGCCACAUUGGAAUUGAGUUACGCCCCAGCCCCCAAGGGGGGGCAGCAGUGGGGAAUAUUGCCAAAUGGGCGGAAGCCUGAUCAAGCAAGGCCGCGGGGGGGAUGACGGCCUUCGGUUGGUAACCCGCUUUCGCCUGUGACGAAGUGUGAGUGACGGUAAUGGGUAAAGAAGCACCGGCUAACUACGUG